GCUGCGAUGACCGAGUGGUUAAGGCCCUUGGACUUAUGAUCCAAGGGCUCUGCCUUCGUGGGUUCGAAUCCUACUCGCAGCG